AGGAAAUAUCCCUCUCGCGAGCUCCAUGGGCCGCCGCCGUCGUCGCUUCAUACGAGGCGCGCGAACUCAGGUACCACCCUCCCCUCUGUGCGGUACAACGACUGGUCGGGCACACCGGCGGUCAAUUUGUCCAUUAGACCAGCUGGCUUUAUAAACCAGAGAGCAGACGGGUCCAGUGGGCCAGACUACAGCUUAGAGCUGUGUGUUGUGUUGUUCCUAACCUGGUGUUUUGCUGUUUUUAGGGAGGGUGACCACUGACAUUUAAUUUGGUUAAUCAAUAGCUUUGUGUUUAUGGUUAGUUAUUUUAAACAUUGCUUUCUCCUUUUUAAGAAAGUCAUUUUUAGUUGGGGCUUUUCAUUUUUAAGUAUUUUCAUUUAUAUUGUUAAUAAAAAUCCCCUUUUGUUUGUACAUAUA